rnacentral:lncRNA from 1 species
UCCAUCAUCGCGUAUUCUGUUUGCCACAAACGCUGCCACCACCUUCGAGUGCGCCUUGAUUUUUUAGCUGUGCGCAAGUCCCCUUCGCAUGAAUGCUCUUUCAACUUAUGCACUCUCCACAUCCCUCGGCCGUGACUAGACGCACGAAGAUCGAAAUUGCAGUUGUCAGAGUGCUUGCACGAGAAAUAGACUCGUCCCGGAUCUGAGCGGACAACUUUUGUCUCAGUGCCUCGCUUCAUGUUCCACAAACCAACAGCAAUGAUCAGGUCGUCUUUGCUGUUGUAAAAAGAAUUCUUCUGCAGAUCAUCAACUCUAGAAGGGUCACUCUCGCGAGCAACCAGCGAAGCCGAGGCGUCCACUGGAAUCAAGGGAACUAACCAAUUAGUUAGAUCACCGGUCUCGGCUGUCGGUUGUCGGAUCCAACCUGCUCGCUCGGUCUCCGUGAAAUCAAUUAGAUCGUCGUCUAAUAAAUCCUCAGAGGCAUCAGAAGCAGUGCCCACCUCGAGCGCAGGGUCAAAUUCUUCGUCAUCAGAAUCAUCAUCGUCUCCUGAUGCAACCGAGCCUUCAGCUUCGUGCUCAGGUUCAUCAUCUGUCCGCACAUCGUUCAAUCUCCCACAUACUUCAUUAAGCCUUUCGGUUUGAUUCCAUGCAGAUUCG